AGCAGCCGCGGUAAUUCCAGCUCCAAUAGCGUAUAUUAAAGUUGUUGCAGUUAAAAAGCUCGUAGUUGAAUUUCGGGAUCAAUAUUUCGGUCAUGCCGUUGGUAUGCACUGUUAUCAUUGAUUUCUCACCUUCUAAAGAACCGUAAUGCCAUUAAUUUGGUGUUACGGGGAAUUAGGACUGUUACCUUGAAAAAAUUAGAGUGUUUAAAGCAGGCUCACGCUUGAAUACAUUAGCAUGGAAUAAUGAAAUAGGACAUCCGAUUCUAUUUUGUUGGUUUCUAGGAUCGAUGUAAUGAUUAAUAGGGAUAGUUGGGGGCAUUAGUAUUCAAUUGUCAGAGGUGAAAUUCUUGGAUUUAUUGAAGACUAACUACUGCGAAAGCAUUUGCCUAAGGAUGUUUUCAUUAAUACAAGAACGAAAGUUAGGGGAUCGAAGACGAUCAGAUACCGUCGUAGUCUUAACCAUAAACUAUGCCGACUAGGGAUCGGAUGAUGUUAAUUUUUAAUGACUCAUUC
rnacentral:rRNA from 1 species